GGACCCGCACAAGCGGUGGAGUAUGUGGUUUAAUUCGAUGCAACGCGAAGAACCUUACCAGGGUUUGACAUCCUGCGAAUCUCUUGGAAACGAGAGAGUGCCUUCGGGAACGCAGUGACAGGUGGUGCAUGGCUGUCGUCAGCUCGUGUCGUGAGAUGUUGGUUAAGUCCCGCAACGAGCGCAACCCACGUCUUUAGUUGCCAGCACAUAAUGGUGGGGACUCUAAAUAGACUGCCCGGAAUAACCGGGAGGAAGGUGGGGAUGAUGUCAAGUCAGUAUGUCCCUUAUACCCAGGGCUACACACGUGUUACAAUGGACAGUACAGAAAGUUGCAAUUCCGCGAGGAGAGCCAA
rnacentral:rRNA from 1 species